CUUUUAAAAGAAAACAGCUAUCUAAUGGUCUUAGGGUCCAAAUUUCUUGGUGCAAAUCCAAGUAAAAGUAAUG
rnacentral:tRNA from 1 species